AUGGUGGCCGUUAUUGCCCAUACACCGUGGGUACCGGUGAACACGCCAUAAAGACAGUACUGAAGGAGUCCAUCGCGGUGAUCUCCCCGUCCUCCUCCGCUGCAAAGUGAGAGUCUAUUUUAGGCUUUGAGUUGCUGGCUGAAAUACUCAAUAACAUAGAACACGUUUGUUUGUAUGUUUCAAGAGAUUCCCAUAAAACCAGACUUGAAAGCAUUCUGGAGGUUAAUUUUCAGAAAAUAUCAUCUAGGAAAAGCAACCGUGCCUGCGUCACAGCCUGUUUUCGGUGGGUCUUGAAGCCACGGCGUUGGAUCCGAUUGGGAGACAACUCACUCCGCUCUCAAUGGUAAUCCUGAGGAUUCAGGUAGAUCAGUGGAGUUCUGCAAAAUUCUUCCACCAUUACCAGUCCAAAUCUCCCGUCUUCAGGAAACCUAAAAUUAAAUUCCCAAAGCAAUGGUGAAAUGACACGAACACCUGCGUCCCAUCGCCAUUAGAAGUCGUCGCCCUUGCCUGGAGAGAGCCACCGCUGAGCGCAAUCAUCCUUGUGGCCAACAGGAGGCGCUAGUCUGCAUUUUGGGCAGCUGUCGGUAAUGGAGCAAAAGACGGGUGUUAAUUUCUUUCCUCCUCCGUGUGUUUCUCUCAACAAACCAGUACUGACCGCUGCCACCGGGCGUUCUGGCUCCUGCUGUGGGCUUGCCCGACACAUUAUCAGUGGGUCUGAUUGGUUGUAAGACUGGGCAAACGAGGCUGACUUCAUGGGAAAGCUACACCAGAGUCCAGAUUUUAGGGCAUCACCCCUAAGCAAUCCAGGCUUCAACUUGGGUCCCCAAAGGAUGUUUGAGAAUCGAGGUCACAGGCAGACAAAAUGAGGGGGAUGGAGACAGACUUUGAAUCACAGAUCCAUCUUUCGGAGAUUUUCCUCCUUUUAUGCGCCGCGGGAGAGAACAGGAACCCAGCCCCAGAACUGCAGUAUCGGGGAGCGUCGCUAAAAUUCGGCACAGCCAGGCUGGGGAAACACUCUGCCCGCUCCGCGAGGGCCAUCUUGCCACCUUCAAUCGAGCACCAAGGAGACAGAGAUGAUAAUAAAGGAAAAUUUAUUUGGGAAAAAUGAACCACAUUUAUUUUUUGAGGCACCUAAAAGACUAGAAAUAAAUUGUGAGUGAUGGUCCACAUUUAUUCUCUUUUAUUAUCAUUAUUAUUCAGAGCGGCCUGCCUCACGCUGAUUACACCCUUUUCACAACAGGCCCCAAGACAAUUCGUCUCCCUUUGUCACGGCCAAGGCCCUUUUUCCCCUUUGCUAGAGUUUAAAAGGACAAACUAUGGACUCUUAAGGCCUGGGUGUUGGAGGGUGCCAAGGAAAUGACACAGGCCAUUAUUUCUAGACUCUUGAAAUGGCGUUUCCCGAAUUUCAGUGUAUUUCAUGACAAACACACCAGGUUCCAGGAACAGCACGUCAUUACGGUGUGAUGCUAAAAUCACUUCGGCCUAAGCUAAAGGGAAAGCCGAUAAUCAGAAGCAGUGUGCUGCAGGGAGGGGCGCCUGGGUGGCUCAGUCGGUUGAGGAGCUGGCUCUUGAUUUCGGCUCAGGUCACGAUCUCACGGUCGUGAGAUCGAGCCCCGCGUCGGGAUCCGUGCUCAGGGUGGAGCC